UCUUACAAAGUUGAUCAUGGCUCAGUGCUGGAUCACCUCCUUAGAGUUGAUCAUGGCUCAGGCUGGAUCACCUCCUUAGAGUUGAUCAUGGCUCAGGAUGAACGCUGGCGGCGUGCCUAAUACAUGCAAGUCGAGCGAAUGGACUUAAAGAGCUUGCUCUUAUGAAGUUAGCGGCGGACGGGUGAGUAACACGUGGGUAACCUGCCCAUAAGACUGGGAUAAACUACCGGGAAACCGGUGCUAAUACCGGAUAACAUUAUUUGAACUGCAUGGUUCGAAAUUGAAAGGCGGCUUCGGCUGUACACUUAUAGGAUGGACCCGCGUACGCAUAUAGCUAGUUGGUAGAGGUAACGGCUACACCAAGGCAACGAUGCUGUAGCCGACCUAGAGAGGGUGAUACGGCCACACUUGGGACUGAGACACGGCCAUGACUCCUACGGGAGGCAGCAGUAGGGAAUACUUCCGCAAUGGACUGGAAAGUACUGACGGAGCAACGCCGGCCGUGAGUGAUGAAGGCUUUCGGGAUCGUAAAAAACUCUGGUAGUUAAGGGAAGAAACAAGUGCUAAGGUAUGAAUAAGGCUUGGGCACCCUUGA
rnacentral:sRNA from 1 species